rnacentral:lncRNA from 1 species
CUUUGCUUUUCCUAGAUCUCCUUGGGGCCUUCUCACAAGGCCCGGCAGCAGGCAGGAAGCAGCGGCGCCAUUGGGCAGGUCUGCUCCUGAAACUCCUCUGGCAGCCGUGCGGCUGGGACACCGCGCUGAGCGUCCACCUUCCCUCUCAUGGGACCAGAGGUCGGAAUGUGAUGGGACCAGAGGCCUGCCCGAGCCAGCUCCCUGCUCUGGUUGAAGGAGGAAGAAGGCCCAGCAGCAGCCCCGGAAGAAGCUCACAGGGGACCCUCCAUUCCCAGGAGUGCGGGCUCAUCGUGCAAGGCCGAGGGGACACGGGGGUGAGAGGAGCCUCAGCGCUGGACACUGUGGGACCUUGUCUGCUGAACAGACUCAAGGACUGCCUGUUGACCUUGGGAUCUGAGGAACAGGAGAGAUUUGGAUGGAUUGGGGCUAGCUGGGAGGGUUUCCAUGGUCUAAAGCACAGGCUGUGUCUCUCUGAGCUGAAAAUAUUAACUGCUGAGCACUAGCUCCCACCGAAAGGGGGUAUUGGUUAGAGGUGUCCUGAGAUGUAAGAGCUUCUUAGGGAGACAAGAGGAGAUACUAGGAGGAUGUGAAAUGCCCUGUAAAACCUGAACCACACGCCCAGCCUUCUGACCCCAGUUUUGGGAGGUAGCAGUCUCUUAUGCAUUUCCCUGGUGGCUCAGAUGGUAAAGAAUACACCUGUAAUGUAGGAGACCUGGGUUCCAUCUCUGAGUCGAGAAGAUCCCUGGAGAAGGAAAAGACAACCCAUUCCAGUAUUCUUACCUGGAAAAUCCCAUGGACAAAGGAGCCUGGUGGGCUACAGUCCAUGGGGUCCCAGGGACAUGAUUGAGAGACUAACACCCUUUCAGGUGAGGACAGCCAGUUUGCUGGGGCCUGAUCAGGGAGGGGCACAGGUGAGUGUUGCUUCUGACAAGUGAAAGAGUCUUUGGGCCUAGAAAAGAGGGAAAACAAAACCAAACUUUAGGCCCUGCCCUGAUGCUCCAGGCUGGUUGAAUCUAUCACCCCUUGUCCAGAGGAUUUAUCACCCCCUGCCCAACUACAAAUGCCAUCUCAACUAAAGAAUACCCAAAACAUCCCGCCUGACUGUUUCCCUUAUCGCUUCCACAAACCUCCCUUUAAAUAUGAAGCCUCCCUGAUCCCUCUCAGGCUCAGCCUGGUCGUUAGGCCUACUGCCGCCCCUCUUUGCCUGAAUAAAGGUAACCUACUUCCGUUCCA